CCUUUCUAAGGAAGAUGUUGAGUAUCAUUGAAUUUAUUGAGUGAUCUGAACGUUUUUUGAAGAUUAAAGCUUUUAAUUAAGCUUGAUAUAAAUUUGCUGUUGUGAAGCAGCGUUUUUAAAAGGAUCGCCGUCCAUGUUUCUCUUUCUUUUCGGAUUUUUUGCGAUGAUGGGGGGUCGUUAAUAUUUGGUUUUGAGGGCCCGUAGCUCAGGUGGUUAGAGUGCACCCCUGAUAAGGGUGAGGUCGGUAGUUCAAAUCUACCUGGGCCCACCACUUUUUGUUCAGGGGGCCGUAGCUCAGUCGGUAGAGCGCCUGCUUUGCAAGCAGGAUGCCAGCGGUUCGAUUCCACUCGGCUCCACCAUUGGCGUAAUUAUGGAAUUUUGUUCUGAUUUUUUGGAGCAAGAGUUUUUUGAAAAUUGAAUAGAAGAUAUAUUUUUUUGUAUUUUUUAUGUUGGCAUUGUAUGCGACAUAUAAGAUACCGGCGUUGUUAACCGCACGUUGAGAAUUUAUCUCAGGAAAUUGGUCUAUUGAAGAAGCAUAAGGAUAUUAUGUUUUUUUAAUUAUAAAGAGUUUGCAAAGAACUUUAUGACGAUUGACAAUGAGAGUAA
rnacentral:tRNA from 1 species